UACGUAGGGUGCAAGCGUUAAUCGGAAUUACUGGGCGUAAAGCGUGCGCAGGCGGCUCCUUAAGACAGAUGUGAAAUCCCCGGGCUCAACCUGGGAACUGCAUUUGUGACUGCACGGCUGGAGUGCGGCAGAGGGGGAUGGAAUUCCGCGUGUAGCAGUGAAAUGCGUAGAUAUGCGGAGGAACACCGAUGGCGAAGGCAAUCCCCUGGGCCUGCACUGACGCUCAUGCACGAAAGCGUGGGGAGCAAACAGG
rnacentral:rRNA from 1 species